GACGAACGCUGGCGGCGCGCCUAAAACAUGCAAGUCGAACGAGAAGCCCGGGCUUGCCCGGGUGGACAGUGGCGAACGGGUGAGUAACACGUGAGGAACCUGCCCCGAAGACCGGGACAACACCGGGAAACCGGUGCUAAUACCGGAUGCCUUCACCGGAUCGCAUGGGCUGGUGAAGAAAUGGAUUCCGCUUCGGGAUGGCCUCGCGGCCUAUCAGCUUGUUGGUGAGGUAAUGGCUCACCAAGGCGACGACGGGUAGCGUGGUCUGAGAGGAUGUCCAGCCACACUGGGACUGAGACACGGCCCAGACUCCUACGGGAGGCAGCAGUUAGGAAUCUUGCGCAAUGGGCGAAAGCCUGACGCAGCGACGCCGCGUGCGGGAUGAAGGCCUUCGGGUUGUAAACCGCUUUCAGCAGGGACGAAAUUGACGGUACCUGCAGAAGAAGCCCCGGCCAACUACGUGCCAGCCGCCGCAGUAAAAC
rnacentral:rRNA from 1 species